UUUUAUGAGAGUUUGAUCCUGGCUCAGGACGAACGCUGGCGGCGUGCCUAAUACAUGCAAGUCGUACGCUUCUUUUUCCACCGGAGCUUGCUCCACCGGAAAAAGAAGAGUGGCGAACGGGUGAGUAACACGUGGGUAACCUGCCCAUCAGAAGGGGAUAACACUUGGAAACAGGUGCUAAUACCGUAUAACAAUCAAAACCGCAUGGUUUUGAUUUGAAAGGCGCUUUCGGGUGUCGCUGAUGGAUGGACCCGCGGUGCAUUAGCUAGUUGGUGAGGUAACGGCUCACCAAGGCCACGAUGCAUAGCCGACCUGAGAGGGUGAUCGGCCACAUUGGGACUGAGACACGGCCCAAACUCCUACGGGAGGCAGCAGUAGGGAAUCUUCGGCAAUGGACGAAAGUCUGACCGAGCAACGCCGCGUGAGUGAAGAAGGUUUUCGGAUCGUAAAACUCUGUUGUUAGAGAAGAACAAGGAUGAGAGUAACUGUUCAUCCCUUGACGGUAUCUAACCAGAAAGCCACGGCUAACUACGUGCCAGCAGCCGCGGUAAUACGUAGGUGGCAAGCGUUGUCCGGAUUUAUUGGGCGU
rnacentral:rRNA from 1 species